UACGGGAGGCAGCAGUGGGGAAUAUUGGACAAUGGGCGCAAGCCUGAUCCAGCCAUGCCGCGUGUGUGAAGAAGGCCUUCGGGUUUGUAAAGUACUUUUCAGUCGUGAGGAAGGUGUUAAGGUUAAUAACCUUAGCAAUUGACGUUAGCGACAGAAGAAGCACCGGCUAACUCCGUGCCAGCAGCCGCGGUAAUACGGAGGGUGCGAGCGUUAAUCGGAAUUACUGGGCGUAAAGGGCACGCAGGCGGUUAAUUAAGUUGGAUGUGAAAUCCCCCGGGCUUAACCUGGGAAUGGCAUUCAAGACUGGUUAGCUAGAGUCUUGUAGAGGGGGGUAGAAUUCCAUGUGUAGCGGUGAAAUGCGUAGAGAUGUGGAGGAAUACCGGUGGCGAAGGCGGCCCCCUGGACAAAGACUGACGCUCAUGUGCGAAAGCGUGGGGAGCAAACAGGGAUUAGAUACC
rnacentral:rRNA from 1 species